rnacentral:rRNA from 2 species
GUCUUGACAUCCUCUGACAAUCCUAGAGAUAGGACGUCCCCUUCGGGGGCAGAGUGACAGGUGGUGCAUGGUUGUCGUCAGCUCGUGUCGUGAGAUGUUGGGUUAAGUCCCGCAACGAGCGCAACCCUUGAUCUUAGUUGCCAGCAUUCAGUUGGGCACUCUAAGGUGACUGCCGGUGACAAACCGGAGGAAGGUGGGGAUGACGUCAAAUCAUCAUGCCCCUUAUGACCUGGGCUACACACGUGCUACAAUGGACAGAACAAAGGGCAGCGAAACCGCGAGGUUAAGCCAAUCCCACAAAUCUGUUCUCAGUUCGGAUCGCAGUCUGCAACUCGACUGCGUGAAGCUGGAAUCGCUAGUAAUCGCGGAUCAGCAUGCCGCGGUGAAUACGUUCCCGGGCCUUGUACACACCGCCCGUAA